rnacentral:rRNA from 1 species
GAUGAACGCUGGCGGCGCGCCUAACACAUGCAAGUCGAGCGAAGCGGGGACGGGUGAGUAACACGUGGAUAACCCCAUAUAAGACUGGGAUAACCUAGGGAAACCGGAGCCAAAACGGAUAAUUAGAGAUGGAGCCGAGCUGCAUUAGCUAGUUGGUAAGGUAACGGCUUACCAAGGCAAUGAUGCAUAGCCGACCUGAGAGGGUGAUCGGCCACACUGGAACUGAGACACGGUCCAGACUCCUACGGGAGGCAGCAGUGGGGAAUCGUCCGCAAUGGGCGAAAGCCUGACGUAGCAACGCCGCGUGAGUGAUGAAGGUCUUCGGUUCGUAAAACUCUUUUAUUAGGGAAGCGUUACCUACACAAAAAGCCACGGCUAACUCCGUGCCAGCAGCCGCGGUAAUAC